rnacentral:rRNA from 1 species
UACAGAGGUCUCAAGCGUUGUUCGGAUUUACUGGGCGUAAAGGGUGCGUAGGUGGCGGGGUAAGUCAGGUGUGAAAUUUCGGAGCUUAACUCCGAAACUGCAUUUGAUACUGCCUUGCUUGAGGACUGGAGAGGAGACUGGAAUUCACGGUGUAGCAGUGAAAUUCGUAGAUAUCGGGAGGAACACCGGUGGCGAAGGCGGCGACCUGGGUAGAUACUGACGCUGAGGUG